GGGGAAUUUUGCGCAAUGGGGGCAACCCUGACGCAGCAACGCCGCGUGCGGGACGACGGCCUUCGGGUUGUAAACCGCUUUCAGCAGGGAAGAAAUUCGACGGUACCUGCAGAAGAAGCUCCGGCUAACUACGUGCCAGCAGCCGCGGUAUACGUAGGGAGCGAGCGUUAUCCGGAUUCAUUGGGCGUAAAGAGCGCGUAGGCGGCCUCUCAAGCGGGAUCUCUAAUCCGAGGGCUCAACCCCCGGCCGGAUCCCGAACUGGGAGGCUCGAGUUCGGUAGAGGCAGGCGGAAUUCCCGGUGUAGCGGUGGAAUGCGCAGAUAUCGGGAAGAACACCGAUGGCGAAGGCAGCCUGCUGGGCCGCAACUGACGCUGAGGCGCGAAAGCUAGGGGAGCGAAC
rnacentral:rRNA from 1 species